rnacentral:rRNA from 1 species
ACACUCCUACGGGAGGCAGCAGUGGGGAAUUUUGGACAAUGGGCGAAAGCCUGAUCCAGCCAUGCCGCGUGCAGGAUGAAGGCCUUCGGGUUGUAAACUGCUUUUGUACGGAACGAAACGGCCUUUUCUAAUAAAGAGGGCUAAUGACGGUACCGUAAGAAUAAGCACCGGCUAACUACGUGCCAGCAGCCGCGGUAAUACGUAGGGUGCAAGCGUUAAUCGGAAUUACUGGGCGUAAAGCGUGCGCAGGCGGUUAUGUAAGACAGUUGUGAAAUCCCCGGGCUCAACCUGGGAACUGCAUCUGAGACUGCAUAGCUAGAGUACGGUAGAGGGGGAUGGAAUUCCGCGUGUAGCAGUGAAAUGCGUAGAUAUGCGGAGGAACACCGAUGGCGAAGGCAAUCCCCUGGACCUGUACUGACGCUCAUGCACGAAAGCGUGGGGAGCAAACAGGAUUAGAAACCCGAGUAGUCCCAUG